AUCCCUUCGGGGACAUCUGAUAAAAUUGGAACGAUAUAGAGAAGAUUAGCAUGGUCUCUGCACAUGGAUGACAUGCACAAAUCGAGAAAUGGCCCUAU